rnacentral:lncRNA from 1 species
GAGGUUCUUUAACCGACAACCACCACUACGAGCCUUAGUGAUGAUACAACGUUUUACCUUACGUUGCCAAAGGACCAUCCUAUACCUUGCCAUCGAUAUAGGACCUUACUUUUGCUUAGUGGAUCCACUAGCCUAAUCUUACGUGAUCAUCUAAAAAGAAUGAUACGUCAAGUCCCAUGUUGGCGCAUGGUUCUUAUGGAGAGUUGAGUUAAUAUGAACUCGUGUCCCCAAUUCGGUGCUCAAUACUACUCCCAAAAAUACUUUGGCUCAUGCUUUUAAAAUAACUUCUUUCCUUAGUUUGAGAUAAUUACUCAAAGCUUAGCCCAACGGCUCUUUUGGAAGACAUGAUUUCCUUUCUUACUUAAAUGUAAAAACAUUUGGAAACUUCUUUGGGAAGUACUUAGUUCCCUAUUAACUUUGGAGAAAUGGACUCGACUCCUUUUGACUUGACUUGAAACUCUUAACUUAACUUAAGACUUGAUACUCUUAACUCGACUUGAGACUUGAAACGACGUUAAGACGUUCAAUAACGACUCUUUGAAAAGCUUUAACGACUUGCCUUGACUUGCUUAACUUCUAAGCUUGGUGCUAACUUCACUUGACUUGGAAUCUAAUUUUCUUGAAUUGAAUUAUGGAUUCAAGGACUUGAUUGGUGUUUGGAAGGGUCUCAUGAUGUUUAGGAAUGAUUUAGGAAUGAUUUGGGAUAGCCAAACUUAAGAAAAUCUCCGAACAUAAUUUCUGAAAACAGAGGAGUCCGCGUCCUGUCCGCGACGCGGAGAAGAUUUUUGUUCACAGAGGGAACAAGUCCGCGACGCGGACGUGCUCCUCGCAAGCUGCCCGACUUUCUCCUUCACGUCUCCAACUCGAAAUCCUCUAACCUCAAAGGUUCCAGCCCCAAUUCACUUAGAAACAUGAAAUCCCUCAACAUUCAAUAGAUUUCAACUCAAAACCCCAACCGGAAACAAGUCCCAACUCAUCAAGAAUCUCAACAUUACAAUCAACAACUAUACCAACAAUAAUUUCAACAACUAACAACUUUAACAACUCCAACAACUUCAACCACAACAACUCACAACUUUAACAACAAAGCCAAUCCUUUCUUAAUAAAUAAAAGGGGUUAGGUGUGUGGGGGAAAGGAUCACCCAACACUAAAAGCUAACAUACCUUGAUAGGGAUCACUCCCGACGAAAAUCCACGAUGAUCUUGACGGAACUUGCUUGAUCUUCCCUCUUUCUUCCCCUUCUUCUUCUCCUUCUCCUUCUUCUCUUCUUCCUCUCUUCUUCACUCUCAAAGCCCUAGCCUUCACUCUCUUAAAAUGGAUAAAUGGUCCAAAUAUCAGCCUAACACAACAAUAUAUCUUCAAAGAAAUAGCUAGGGAAAAGACCAAAAUGCCCUUAAUGAUUCCCGGACGGAAUUCCUUGUCAACUGCCCAACUUUCAAAGGGCAUAUCUCACUCAUACGAACUCGGAAUCGAGCAAACUCAGUGGCGUUGGAAAGAUCGUUCCACGAACUUUGCAACCAUAACUGGAAUUCCACCUAACUCAUCCUGAGCUAGAAUUUAUGGCUGUUCAAAGUUGGCCAAAAAUUCACAUUUUCCAUACUUAGCCAAAAUUUCCAAAACUUUAAAAUUCUUUCCAAAAAUGAAAAUUUCCAAUUCUAAGCCUCUUCAAUUAUUUCGUAUUGCCGGAUGUUACAC